GAAAAAUCAUAAGAUCCAUUCAUUUCUUCAUUUUCUUUCUCUCUCAUCUCUCUCGCUCGGUUGCAGGUUGCAGAGAAAAAAGUUUCAGGGUUUGCUCUCUCUCUCAGACGAAGAAACAGGCCGAGAACACGAUUUCUAAUCGAAAUUUCCAGUUCAACAAUGGAACUAUGAAGAUCUUCAACAACAACAGAAAUAAAGAAGAUAACAACUAAUCGUCAUUCACAGAACAACUUUGGGUACUGGAAUCUGUACCUGGAGAUGUAAAUCCUGAAGAGAGUGAUGGAGAAGUUGAGAAGGUUUUCCAGACCUUGCAAAGUUUACCCUCAGAAAUCCCAUCAAGAAAGUGGCUUGUAGAUUACAUGAUGGAGCUUGGGUUCUUCAAAUCACUUUCCCAGUGGGUUGGCAAUAACCUUAUGAAAUCUGGGGACCAUGAAACAUGGGCUUUUGAUCUCCAAGGUGCUGUUGAUAUGUUCAAUUCAUACAGGUUUCAGUUGGUGAUAUUGUGGUGACUCCAAUUUGAAUCAAUCAAUUUAUUCCAAUUUGUUCUUUUGAAGCUACUUCAGGUCAGAGUAGAAAAAUAUAAUUUUUCUGGAAUCAAUGAAUUUUGAAUCUAGGAAAAUCAACACUUGUGGUGGUGUUGAUGGUGGAGGUGCAGGUUUUGGAGGAGGAUGAGGAGGCAGUGGUGGUACUGGAUCAGAUUUGGAAGAUAAUUUGUAUUUGGAGUUAGUGGUGGUGUUUUGGUAUGAAGCUGAGAGGUUUGGUAUGGAUGUUAGAGCUGUGUUAGACAUUGUUUCAGAUAACUUCAUAAAAGCUAAUUGCUUAAACGUGGUAAUGAUCUCGCUGGAACUGGA